AUUACCUAAUCUACUUUCACCUUUUGCCUCCCCUUCACUUCUUGUCCUUUAGGAUACCAUAUGAAAGGAAAAAAAAUUAUGCAGCAUCAGGUCCGAAAAUACAUCUAGUUUUGCUUCGUAGUAAGGAUUCCAAAUCUCACGGUAAAUUUAUAGUGUCUGAUGGUUGACCAUGUGAAAGCAUAUAUAAUGAUACAACCCAC
rnacentral:lncRNA from 1 species